rnacentral:lncRNA from 1 species
CUAAUAUAUAAUUCACCAUAAGAAAACCCAGAGCAGUCAAUCUUUCAUUAGACAUGGGGUGAGAAAGGGUCAGCAGACACUCCUGCAGUACUAAAAAUAAAGGCACCACAUCUGGUAUGGAAUGAUGUCUGGAAUUGUAAUGCAUAUGCAUCCACUUACUUGUACUGCUGAAAACACAAACUACAGAGUGGCUGCAUGUUGAAACAUGAACCAGUGUAAUAGGAGCUUAAACCCUGGAACAGACUGUUUGUAUAUGUAGUCAGUUUAUUAGCAAAUGUGCAGGCCUGCAGAGUACAAGAACCAUCGUUUCAAGCCGAUCUGUCACACAUUUAACAAGCUGUUUGUAAUACAGUCCAUUUCAUGUAUAAGAGAAAAAUCUUUCCCACAGGUAUAAGAAAUACAUGAUACUUUUAGCAUAUGGUGAGUUCUGGUUUUGCAGGUUAUCCUACAUUAGAAGCUGGUGUAACAUGUUGGGUUAAUUUUUUGUUUGUUUCCCAAAUCCUCCUUUCCUUUGUUGAAUGUGCUGCAAUAAAGCAUCUUAUAGCGGAUGUUAAAAAUGAGAUUCUGCAUGAGACGUGUUUCUAAUGUCAGGCACAACCAUGCUCACCGAGAAUAAAUCUAGCCCUGGUGCAAACUGCUCAUGCUAAGCCUACAUUAUAUACCACAGCAGGGUUGAAUGGGUAGAAAUCAAUAGCAGAAGAGCCUCUGCUGCAGAGAGAGUUACUGCUCCAGCACCACUGGGUCUCUGUGCCUCUCCAUCAAGGAGCAGCAGAAGCCGGGGGUACCUCCCCAAAAUGGUACCCACCGACAGCAGCUAGUGGGGUGGCAGUGGGGAAUAAACACCCUGCAGCACUUGCAUCAUGCCUCAGCUUCUGGCAGGAUUUGCAAAUGCUGCUGGGAUUCAAGGACUUUGCUUAGGAGAAGCUGCUAAUGCAUUGCUGUUUUCUCAUCUCACCUCCCCACCAGAGGGUCCAGCAUGGCUCCACAGUGGCCCCAGCGAUGGGAGAUGCAGAUGCACACCCCAUGGGUUGUGGCUGUACUUUACCAGCACCCAGAGAGGGAAAGCAGAGAGACCUGAUGCUCCUGCAGCUUCCACGGGUGAUCUGAGCGAGCUCAGCUGA